rnacentral:rRNA from 1 species
AUGCUGACGAGCGGCGGACGGGUGAGUAAUGCAUAGGAAUCUACCCGGUAGUGGGGGAUAACCUGGGGAAACCCAGGCUAAUACCGCAUACGUCCUACGGGAGAAAGGGGGCUUUGGCUCCCGCUAUCGGAUGAGCCUAUGCCGGAUUAGCUGGUUGGUGAGGUAAUGGCUCACCAAGGCGACGAUCCGUAGCUGGUCUGAGAGGAUGAUCAGCCACAUCGGGACUGAGACACGGCCCGAACUCCUACGGGAGGCAGCAGUGGGGAAUAUUGGACAAUGGGGGCAACCCUGAUCCAGCCAUGCCGCGUGUGUGAAGAAGGCCCUCGGGUUGUAAAGCACUUUCAGCGAGGAAGAACGCCUAUCGGUUAAUACCCGGUAGGAAAGACAUCACUCGCAGAAGAAGCACCGGCUAACUCCGUGCCAGCAGCCGCGGUAAUACGGAGGGUGCAAGCGUUAAUCGGAAUUACUGGGCGUAAAGCGCGCGUAGGUGGCUUGAUAAGCCGGUUGUGAAAGCCCCGGGCUCAACCUGGGAACGGCAUCCGGAACUAUCAGGCUAGAGUGCAGGAGAGGAAGGUAGAAUUCCCGGUGUAGCGGUGAAAUGCGUAGAGAUCGGGAGGAAUACCAGUGGCGAAGGCGGCCUUCUGGACUGACACUGACACUGAGGUGCGAAAGCGUGGGUAGCAAAACAGGAUUAGAUACC